GGCAGGAUGGCCCAGUGGUUAGGGCACUAGCCUGGAACUCAGGAGAUCGGAGUUCAGUUCCCCACUCUGCCA
rnacentral:tRNA from 1 species